UUUUUUUUUCUUUUUUCUUUUUUUAAAUCACAGUUACCAAAAGAAACAGUGAAUAAUUUAUUACAUACGCUAUAAUAACAUUACUCUAAACACUAUUAUCUAUGAGGUAUAUCUGAGAAAAUUCGGUAAGGAAUUGCGCGGUCUGCAUUGCCAACAUGCCCAGGUUCAUAUUAAAGCUUUGGAACCAUGAAGAACUAGAAAAGGGAGAACAGGGGAGGCAGAAGGAGACAGAGAGAAAGGACCUUUGGUAUUAGUACAAACCUUGUUCUUUGCAGGGUUGCAUUGCAAAGCACCACAGUACAAUAAGCCCACCAAUUUACUGUAUGGAGGCCCAGUGGAAGCUGAGGUAUUCACAGGAAGGAUUAAAAAAAGCACAGAGAGGUCCAGACUGGCUAAAUCGUUGCUUUGGUUCAAGCAAGGCACUCGUCCCGUGGUUACAUCACACUUUGCAAGUGAAGCAUGAGGCUGAGGGGGGGAUUACUGAGGAGGGGUCUGCCAAUCGGGGAUGUUUUCUGUGUUCAGGCUGCCAUUGGUCUCUCUAGGUUCCCUCUUCUAGGUGCGUGAUGGUCGGAAGGCUGGGGAGGGUGGUGUUUGCUUACAAAGAAGCGCUCUGCUGCUCAGUGACCAGAUCUUCUUUGUUGUGUCUCCCAGGUAUGUGGAGAAUUCUGCUUCCAAUAGUAAUUUGGGAAGAAAACCAAAUCUGUUUGGAAGGUGGGCCUUACACAUGUGCUUGGCAUGAGGAGUCGGGGGAAGAUGGAACUCUGAGCUUGUUUGGACGGAGAGAACUCUCACAUGUGUCAGUAUAGUGCUUGGAAACUAGAGAAAGGGGAUACGUGAGUGUUUCUUAAGGCCUGUCAACCUAUCUUCUGAAUUCCUCUGCUAACUACACCCUGUGGAUGCAUGGACUGGAUGAGCUGCCUGGUCUCUUCCCUUCUUAGCUUCUUUGUCUAAAUGGUCCUUUAAAAGCUCAAAGAGAACUGCAGUGCAUGAAACGCAAAAUACUAGACUCAAUAAAGAACUAUACAGGCUAGAGGCUGAUCUUUGCGUAUGUCUGGAACCCAUUUGGUCAAAAGCUGAGAAUGACUCAUUGGCUAACAGGCAAAUCACUCUGAUGAAUGAAUCUUAAUAGUGAUUUAAUCAUUUAACGGAAUAAAAAUAAAUUUAAGACUAAUUUUGUAAGUAAGAAGGGAAGAGAGAAGCAACUCAAAAUAUCCAUUUCUUAAACUGGCUUAUCCCUCUGAAAUUUUGGAGUCAUCUUUUGUUUACAAUGAAUAAUUUCUCAUUAUCCAAUGAUAAAAGGCUUAAACUUCUCUCAUACAGUGUUGUCCUAGAAAUGAUCUAUCAAUGUGUAAAAGUCAAGAGAAGGAAAAAGCUGAACAGCUUAAAUGUCACGUGUGUAAAGGGUGAUCAAAUUCUCUCUCUCUGACAAAUACUGACCUAAGAUACUCAGAAUAAUUCAAUCCAACAGACCAAGAAUGAACUUUCUCUUCUCACUGAGUUAGAAGAUUAUAUAGAUACCACUUUGGAAAGGGGAGGUUCAACAGUGAUCACACUGGAUCAAUGUGUACUUCCAGGGUGAAAACCCUUCCAUGACCUCUAGUAAGUCAAGGCUGGCCACUUUUACAUGCAACUCAACCUAUGUGACUUUAUGUUGAGAUUCUAACUAGACAGACACCAAAAUGCCUGUGAAUAUUUAUAUAGAGUGAAAAUACAUGACAAGCCCACGGUCCUCCUCACUGCUAAAGGAUUGCCACCUUCCUCUUUGCCAACACACGGCCCACCACCUGCAGAGGCAGCAUUGAGCAAAGGGCACAGCAAUGGAGCAGGAGGCAGGAGGCAUGUCUGGGCUUCGCCCCUGGAUAGUUAUUUACCUUCGAUAACUACUUCACUCCUCCAGGGCUCAGGGCUGGAUAAAAGAGUCCUAAGGCCCCUUCUGGCUGUACUCUUUAAUGAGUAGAAUUUCUAUGGCCCAAUCACUGGAAAACUUGACUGUGAUAGCUCCAAAGUGGGGACAGAGGUCGUGGCUGGGACUGAAGGCCACUUUCAACGAGUUUCUUCACCAAUUUGGAAUUGGAAUUUAAGGAAUUACAGCAGCAUCUGAACUCAUGUCCUGAAUAUGUAGAGGGGACAGUGAACAAAUGAGAGAAACACAGAAAAUAUCCCUUUCCAAAUUAGCAGCCACCGUCGCAUAGAUAACUAUUUCUUUGGGGUAUCUGAGCUGUGGCUGUACAUACCAUAUAUCAGAGAUAAUAGUUAAAAUUAAAAAAGAGCACAAGCAAAAUGCAGACCGCACAGAGAAAGAAAUCUUUGGUAUCUUUGGUGUCAUCAACACGAUUAAAAUUACAAAUGGAAAAAGUCAGUGAGGUAGCCUUCUUUGGUUCUCACUAGAAAUAGAAAGUUUUUCCUUUUUUUUUUUCUUUUUUCUGCUUUUUUUUUUUUCCUUUUUUGUUUUGUUGUUUUACACACACAGAGUUCAUUCUUGGAAGCAGCUAGUGUAAGGGUUUCUCUUUUUGCUGUUCUGAUUUUUUAAAAUUUAUUUUUCCAGUUUCUGUAUAGAAGCCCCGAAAUCCAAGCUGGUGGAGCAGGGUCUCUCGGCUUAUGUUUUCUGAAUGCACAGGUUCAGGUUGAAUAGUCAUUGCUUGUCCACAAACUUUGCUCUGUUGUCCUGACAGCAAACAAACUGCAAUGCUGUUGUUUUAAAUAAAAAAUAUAAACUAUAUAGUGCAUCUUUUGCAGAUGCUGAAUAAGUUAAAUAAAUAAGUUACAAUAUGAAGGCUCUGAGGCCCAAUAAUUAAAAGAUGAAGUUCGCCUGGUACCAAGUGGGGCUGCGAACUUAAAUUAAAUAAUUUAAUAACUGUUAUUUAAACUAUUUUCAAAGUUAAUUCAAGAAGGAAAAAUACCUUUUUUUUUUUUUUUUUUUUUUGUAACCUGUAUUUCUUCCCUGUCUGUAACAGAAUUUCACUGCUUUAUAAAGCAAACUAACUUUCAAGGGAAUUCUAAAAGGGAUUUUGCAUCUCUGAUGCACCAAUGGUUUAGAUUUUGAUAAAUAACCACAAAGAACAAAAUCAAAGUAAAGAAAGAUGAUUAAAUAAUUACCAAAAUCCUAUACAUUUAUGUGCUAAGAGCUAAUUUAAAUAAGUUAAUUACAUUAAUUGUACUUAGCUUGUUGGGUCAUAACCCAA
rnacentral:lncRNA from 1 species